CCUUCGGGUGCAGAGUGACAGGUGGUGCAUGGCUGUCGUCAGCUCGUGUCGUGAGAUGCUGGGUUAAGUCCCGCAACGAGCGCAACCCUUGAUCUUAGUUGCCAUCAUUAAGUUGGGCACUCUAAGGUGACUGCCGGUGACAAACCGGAGGAAGGUGGGGAUGACCUCAAAUCAUCAUGCCCCUUAUGACCUGGGCUACACACGUGCUACAAUGGACGGUACAAAGAGCUGCAAGACCGCGAGGUGGAGCUAAUCUCAUAAAACCGUUCUCAGUUCGGAUUGUAGGCUGCAACUCGCCUACAUGAAGCUGGAAUCGCUAGUAAUCGCGGAUCAGCAUGCCGCGGUGAAUACGUUCCCGGGCCUUGUACACACCGACAUCCUUUUCUAUUUUAUCUCCCUCUUUCUCCUCCCUCCUUUUUACCCUCUAUAC
rnacentral:rRNA from 1 species